rnacentral:sRNA from 1 species
AUUUAUUUAAAAGAGAGAUUAUAGAGAAUUUAACACAACAAAAGACUUUUGAUUCUUCCUCAAUUAAUUGUAUUAUUUUUUUAUUUAAUUAAUAUAGAAUGACACAUGUCAUUUUCUUGUGUGAUGAUGUGUCAUUCAUAGGGAGAGAGUUGGCAACUUUCAUAUAUAUGAUUUAUUUUUUAACGUUUAAAUUUAUUAUUUAUUGUAAAUUAUGAGAAUUAUUACAAAUAUAAUUAUACCACGGAUAAUUUCUUUCGAUCUUGUUAGAUCUACGACCUACGAUACUUCCUUC